rnacentral:tRNA from 1 species
GGAAGUGUAGCUCAGUGGUAGAGUAUAUGCUUAACAUGCCUAAGGUCCUGGGCUCAAUCCCCAGCACCA